CUCUGACUCUGGUUUUCUGCCAUCUGGAUAGCUCCUUCUCUGGAUCCCCACUAUGAUCUCUAAAGAGCUUACCCUUUGUUUCCUCCUGCUUGGAAGCUUCUCCCCUGUAACUGAUUAUUAACCUCACGCUUGAUCUCUAUUCCUAUCUAGGAAUCUCCUAUUCCAUGCAUUCCUUGUUAUUUAUAUCUUCCUUCACUGAAUACCGUAUAAAGGAAGAUAUAAAAGGGAGGUUGCUGACUGGCCGCUGUAAUACCUCAGAAGUUACUCAGGGAAUCUCUGAUAUAUCAGAUUUUAGGUGGAGCAAGGAUUACAAAAUGUGACCUGGAGACAAGAAAACUCUGCAUCUGGUCUCAGACACUUAAUAUCUGGAUUACUCUGGGCAAGUCAUUUAACCUGUAUUUCUCUCAAUGUCAUCAUCUAUAAAAUGGGAAUAAUAGUAGUUAAAAUAA
rnacentral:lncRNA from 1 species